rnacentral:misc_RNA from 1 species
AGAUUCGUAACGUGAAACUUUUAGGUCAGAUCACAAUUCGUGCCUAUAAAGACAUUUUAAAAUUCAAGUCACAUAAAAGUAACACUUAACCAUGGGGAUUUUGGACAGAAGAGAGAUAGAAAUGCAAAAGAGAGAAGGGGAGGUGGAAAUGCAAAAACAAGGUUGGGAGGGAGAGGGGUUGAGAAGAAAAUUGAAUUUCAUUUUUAU